GAUGAACGCUGGCGGCGUGCCUAAUACAUGCAAGUCGAGCGAACAGAUGAGGAGCUUGCUCCUCUGACGUUAGCGGCGGACGGGUGAGUAACACGUGGAUAACCUACCUAUAAGACUGGGAUAACUUCGGGAAACCGGAGCUAAUACCGGAUAAUAUAUUGAACCGCAUGGCUCAAUAGUGAAAGACGGUUUUGCUGUCACUUAUAGAUGGAUCCGCGCCGCAUUAGCUAGUUGGUAAGGUAACGGCAUACCAAGGCAACGAUGCGUAGCCGACCUGAGAGGGAGAUCGGCCACACUGGAACUGAGACACGGUCCAGACUCCUACGGGAGGCAGCAGUAGGGAAUCUUCCGCAAUGGGCGAAAGCCUGACGGAGCAACGCCGCGUGAGUGAUGAAGGUCUUCGGAUCGUAAAACUCUGUUAUUAGGGAAGAACAAAUGUGUAAGUAACUAUGCACGUCUUGACGGUACCUAAUCAGAAAGCCACGGCUAACUACGUG
rnacentral:rRNA from 1 species